rnacentral:rRNA from 1 species
AUUGAACGCUGGCGGCAUGCUUUACACAUGCAAGUCGAACGGUAACAGGCCGCAAGGUGCUGACGAGUGGCGAACGGGUGAGUAAUGCAUCGGAACGUGCCCAGUCGUGGGGGAUAACGCAGCGAAAGCUGCGCUAAUACCGCAUACGAUCUCUGGAUGAAAGCGGGGGACCGAAAGGCCUCGUGCGAUUGGAGCGGCCGAUGUCAGAUUAGGUAGUUGGUGGGGUAAAGGCCCACCAAGCCAACGAUCUGUAGCUGGUCUGAGAGGACGACCAGCCACACUGGGACUGAGACACGGCCCAGACUCCUACGGGAGGCAGCAGUGGGGAAUUUUGGACAAUGGGCGCAAGCCUGAUCCAGCAAUGCCGCGUGCAGGAAGAAGGCCUUCGGGUUGUAAACCGCUUUUGUACGGAACGAAACGGUCCGGGUUAAUACCCUGGGCUAAUGACGGUACCGUAAGAAUAAGCACCGGCUAACUACGUGCCAGCCGCCGCUGUAA